rnacentral:misc_RNA from 1 species
GAUGAAGAACGUAGCGAAAUGCGAUAAGUAAUGUGAAUUGCAGAAUUCAGUGAAUCAUCGAAUCAUUGAACGCACAUUGCGCCCCUUGGUAUUCCGAGGGGCAUGCCUGUUCGAGCGUCAUUACACCACUCAAGCUAUGCUUGGUAUUGGGCGUCGUCCUUAGUUGGGCGCGCCUUAAAGACCUCGGCGAGGCCACUCCGGCUUUAGGCGUAGUAGAAUUUAUUCGAACGUCUGUCAAAGGAGAGGAACUCUGCCGACUGAAACCUUUAUUUUUCUAGGUUGACCUCGGAUCAGGUAGGGAUACCCGCUGAACUUAAGCAUAUCAAUAAGCGGAGGA